ACAAAAGGAGUCUUCCUGGUUUCCUGUCCCCUGUCUCAGCUUCUGCUGAAGCAGGGUGACCGUCCCCUCCGUCCCCUCCGUCCCCUCCGAAGGAACCCGUCUCCCACACAGGGCCCUGCAGGGCACAUCCCCUCCUCCACCGGGGACUGGGGUUCCUGCUUUCCAUGUGCGUCUUUCUGAGCACAGCUCUGCAGAAGGGUGUCUCCCCAGACCGCUGGAGCCUGGGUGUAGGGGGGAGCCCCGAGUCUCCCGUGGGGAUGAGAGAGGGAGGCCACGCUUUGCUUUCCCUGAGCCCACCCACUGUGUCCACACCUCACCUGUCCCUGGGAAGGGGCUGGGCUGGUUCAUUCUUGUUCCCAUUUCACAGAUAGAUAGAUGGGCUCGGAAAGCAACAGGUCUGGCCCAGGGUCUCUUGGUUUUCUUUCUUUUUUUUAAUAUUAAAAAAAAAUUGUUUUAAUGUUUAUUUAUUAUUGAGAGAGAGAGAGACAAUGGGAGCAGAGAAGGGGCAGGGAGAGAGGGAGACGCAGAAUCCGAAGUAGGCUCCAGGCUCCGAGCCGUCAGCACAGAGCCCGACACGGGGCUCGAACUCACAGACCGCGAGAUCGUGACCUGAGCUGAAGUCAGACGUUCAACCAUCUCAGUCACCCAGGCAUGACACCCUCUGACUUCCCUCGUCUCUGAGGCUGCAAAUCAAUGAGACCCAUCCCGGCCCCGAUGUCCAGCUCCACAGGCCCCGGGUAGGUCCCCAUCACCAGACCCAGGAACCACGCCCUCCACUGAGCGGAUCGCUGGUCUCCCAGCCCAGACUAACCUUGGCACCAAUGUCCCUGGGGUCGCUACCUCUUCCAUUUCUCAGGGGACACUGAGGAGGACAGCCGGGAAAGGAAGCGGGCAGGGGUGAAGUCACAGGGAUGGGGUGGGGGCUGCCGCUGUCCUGUUGUCAAAAGCCUCCCAGCGCUCAGAAGCGGGGUCCACCUCUGAUCACCAUCCCCCAGGACGGCGUCCUCCAAGACUAGGGCUGGGGGGUGUCAGGUGGGACCCAAGGGCUGGGGAGCCCCCGCGAGGCCCCCCGUGAGCACAGGCUCGGCUCCCAGCCCUGAGGGGCUGUUGGAGGGAGCCCCCACCCGGACAGUCACCACAGGUCCCCUAACUGUCAUCGGGAGCACACCAGGACUGCUAUAUUUCUUCUUGGUUUCAACUCCAUCACUGGAAAUCAUCUUACAAAGAAAUCACCGAACAAGUCGGGUCACACGUUGGUGUGUGACAUUUUAACAGACACUCCCCAGCCUCUGGGACCCGGGCCGGGCAGGGAGGGGAGGGCUGAGCACCGUGUCCUCACGGGGGCCGGUCGCAACAGGGUUAACUGGGUGCCACAUGCCAGCCGAGGCUCGUGGUUCCAAAGGUGUGGAAGCAGAGAGGUUAGGUGGCCCGUCCAGGGCCACUGGGACACAGGGCGUCCGCGGCAGCGCUAUGCUCGAACCCCCAGCCCGACUCCACGUUGGGCCUCCGGGGUCUCCCAGCCACCGAGGCCACCGCAGAGCCGGGCAGGGGGUCGGCAGGGAACUCAAGACGUCCGUCCUGCGUGCACCGGGCUGAACUACCUGGGCAAGGACGGCCCCAGAGACAGUCUGGACCUGCCCGUCCUUGUUCAGAGGCUAGGGGACGUGGCUGAUGCUCGCGGGGCUUGCUGGCUCUCCCCCAGCGUGCCCAGGCCGACCCGACGCCCGUGGGAGGGAAGAGCCCAUGUGGGCAGAGUCCCGGAGCAAGGCAGGAGGACGUGGUCCGGUGUGCCUCCGACCUUGGACCCCACCUGUGCGUGACGGCCGGGCUCUGCAGCGGGCACGCUGACGCCCACGCAUGUGGAGAGGCUGGGACUCCAGGGGUGGCGGUGGGGGCCGCUCUCCUGCUCAUCGCUCGGGAAGAGCCCCAGGCCUCAGUCACCGUUGUCAAUUAAGCCCGGGCGCCAGGCGGCCCGCUGUUUUCUCCUUGUCCCUCAGCUGACCAGCCGCCCCCCUGCUCUGUGGCCGCAGCACCAGGAGCCCUGGGGGGCGAUGCAGAGGACACGGGAGAGGAGCCCCUGACCUCACGUUCCUUCUUGUGAGAGUGUCUCUGGAAUGUCUGCCUCCCUCACGGGACCCCGUCCUCGCAGAACCAGCCCUGGCGUCUGGUGCUGCAGGUCUCCCCUGUCCCCUUUCUGCUCUCCUUGCCUGCAGCGCCCCCAGAUGAAUGCUCUCUUUCUGCAGUGGUGAUCACGGUCCCCCAGAACAACCGGCCCUGCCCCUGAGGACAGGUGGGGGCUUGGGAGGCCCCGGGGGACAGCCACCAGUACAGGCCAUGUCCCCACACCGGAAGCCUGCUAGAGGGUACCUCCAUGCUGCUGUUCAUGUGGGCGUGUACACCCUCCUGCCUGUAGGCCAUCUGGGGGUUUCCAACAAAGGGCAAGGGGCACGCUCCACUCAACCCUCAUUUGCAUCGGGAAUGUUCUAGAAUGUUCUAGGAACCCCAGCAGCACACAGGGGCCUCAGAGCAUGCUCGAGGUAGGGUCUGGGGGCGCUGGCAACCACUGUGCCUCCUGUCACACCCCCACUGACCUUCCAACUCCUGCCAUGCUCCUCAGGAUAGGGGUGGCUAAGGGUCCCACUGGCAGCCGCCAAUGCCCUCAUGGUCACUACCUAAUUCCAUUUCUAAGGAACCCUGGGGAGGAGAUCCUGGGCAGCAGGGAAGGACCAGGCAGGGGCACCUGACUCAUCAUUGAGGAGGUGAGACAGAAGGAGGAGGCUGGAGAUAGGGCCCUCCGCUCCCCCGUUGCUGGCUGUCACCUGCCAGGUGUGGCCCUCCCCUUCCUCAGUGCUAGGCACCCAGGAAUCAGCAUGUCUGUGGCUCCCACACCCCAUCUUUCCUGGGAGAUGAGGUGGAGCCCACCCCCCCCAGGCGUCUCCUCCCAUAACCCCCUGAGACCUGGGUCCUGGGACCCCUGCCCCUCCCCCGUCUCAGCCGGAGCCUGUGCCCAGAGACCCACAGGGUUCACGCUGGGUGCCUCACCCUGAGGGCCCUGCCCGGGCCAGGCUGCCUGUUCCCUCUGCAUCACAGUGACCUCCCGGUCAGGACACUGCACAGGGACUCUGGGAAUCCCCCAAUCACAUUUCCCCUUUCUUCUUAAGACAGAGAUCUCCAGGGUCUCUGGAGGGUAGGAGAGAGGUGGUGUGAACCAUGGUGCUUGAGCCGGACUUCGGAGAGUGGGAGGCGGGGGCAUCCUGACGCUCCACUACAGAAGCUCCCCCACCUCUCCCCUGCAUUCUGGCCACCCUCAGCUUCCCCUGCUCUGUGCGAGCCCCAGGCUGGACAAUGUGCUCACAGGCAAAGCAGCCUGGUCCUCGACCUCCUGGGGCUCAGGGUCUCAGGAGGGAGCCACAUCUAAAAGCCAGAAAAAGAGGGGCACCUGGGUGGCUCAGUCGGUGAAGCGUCCGACUUCGGCUCAGGUCAUGAUCUCGCCGUUUGUGAGUUCGAGCCCCGCAUGGGGCUCUGUGGUGACAGCUCAGAGCCUGGAGCUGCUUCGGAUUCUGUGUGUCCCUCUCUCUCUC